GGGAGACGCAGGUUUCGUUCCGCCUCAAGCAGCAGCGGGAGCACGCGGCUGGAGCUUGUGCAGACCAGAGGAGGAAGCAGUGUGAUCCAAGGAGGGUGACCGCUGGUACCACCAAAGGUCGACACCAGCUGCAUCUCACGCAGAUCAACCAUGCCCCGAUGCGGCUGCCUUCGCCCCUUUGGGCGCGUAGGCGUCUCGGUCGGUCGCCGCCCAGGCACCAAGUCCAUCAGCAACAUCCCAGAGGAGUAACGUCUCUGUGGCCCGUCAGCAGAUACUCCAACGUUGGAGUCGCUUGAGUAGAAGCAGGCGCUAAAUCGUGCAAAGCUGAAGUCGAACACCUUGGCGUGGAGUGAGGUGGAUCUCGUGUUUAUCCUACACUUUCACCAAUUCAUCCUAAAACAGAGUCUGAAGAACCAUCAACUCAUCUUAUUUGGGGAUUUCCCCCACCGCCACCAAAUUUAGAUUGUAGUUCGUUAGAAUGCCUAAAGCCUCUAACAGGUCAACCUACAAGAGCUCCAUGUUAACGGUAGACCUUUAUUCACUCUUUCCGUUAGUUUCAGAUUGUGAUUAAGAAGUGGGAUCUGGGGUAAACAUGGCAUAGAGGCUGGUUCGUGUUAUGGGUGCAAAUGUGGCUAGUGAUCAACCUGACAAGACAGUGGUUCUUGUGCAUCUGGUACAAAUGCAUGUGAAUUUGGAUAAUGCCAAUGCCUUCUCUACAUUUAAAAGCUUGUGGAGCAAACAAAUUUCUCUUUAGCCAUCAAUUUUCAGGGACUAUGAGAUUCUCUAUGUCUAGGUCUGCAUUCUUGCUUGUGCCCCUUAAUCUCUUAUUCAGUUAUUUGUGUC